rnacentral:rRNA from 1 species
AUUGAACGCUGGCGGCAGGCCUAACACAUGCAAGUCGAGCGAGCGGCGGACGGGUGAGUAAUGUCUGGGAAACUGCCUGAUGGAGGGGGAUAACUACUGGAAACGGUAGCUAAUACCGCAUACCCUCAGAUGUGCCCAGAUGGGAUUAGCUAGUAGGUGGGGUAACGGCUCACCUAGGCGACGAUCCCUAGCUGGUCUGCGAGGAUGACCAGCCACGCUGGAACGGAGAAGAGGUCCAUACUCGUACGGGAGGCAGCAGUGGGGACUAUUGCACAAGGGGCGCAAGCCUGAUGCAGCCAUGCCGCGUGUGUGAAGAAGGCUUUCGUGGUGUAAAGCGUUUUCAGCGGGGAGGCUUUACCCGAAUAAGAACCACCGGCUAACUCCGUGCCAGCAGCCGCGGUAAUAC